AGUGAACGCUGGCGGCAGGCCUAACACAUGCAAGUCGAACGGCAGCACAGGAGAGCUUGCUCUCUGGGUGGCGAGUGGCGGACGGGUGAGGAAUACAUCGGAAUCUACCUUUUCGUGGGGGAUAACGUAGGGAAACUUACGCUAAUACCGCAUACGACCUAAGGGUGAAAGUGGGGGACCGCAAGGCCUCACGCGAUUAGAUGAGCCGAUGUCCGAUUAGCUAGUUGGCGGGGUAAUGGCCCACCAAGGCGACGAUCGGUAGCUGGUCUGAGGGGAUGAUCAGCCACACUGGAACUGAGACACGGUCCAGACUCCUACGGGAGGCAGCAGCGGGGAAUAUUGGACAAUGGGCGCAAGCCUGAUCCAGCCAUACCGCGUGGGUGAAGAAGGCCUUCGGGUUGUAAAGCCCUUUUGUUGGGAAAGAAAUCCUAUCGGUUAAUAACCGGUGUGGAUGACGGUACCCAAAGAAUAAGCACCGGCUAACUUCGUGCCAGCCGCCGCGGUAAGAC
rnacentral:rRNA from 1 species